UCUGGUUGAUCCUGCCAGUAGUCAUAUGCUUGUCUCAAAGAUUAAGCCAUGCAUGUCUAAGUAUAAAUAGUAUACAGUGAAACUGCGAAUGGCUCAUUAAAACAGUUAUAGUUUAUUUGAUAAUUGACAAUUACAUGGAUAACCGUGGUAAUUCUAGAGCUAAUACAUGCUUAAACGCCCGACUUUAUGGAAGGGUGGUAUUUAUUAGACUGAAGCCAAUACUCCUUGUGUCUAUUGCGGUGAUUCAUAAUAACUGAUCGAAUCUCUUUUUGAGAUAAAUCAUUCAAGUUUCUGCCCUAUCAGCUUUCGAUGGUAGUGUAUUGGACUACCAUGGCAGUAACGGGUAACGAAGAAUUAGGGUUCGAUUUCGGAGAGGGAGCAUGAGAAACGGCUACCACAUCUAAGGAAGGCAGCAGGCGCGUAAAUUACCCAAUCCUGACUCAGGGAGGUAGUGACAAGAAAUAGCAAACCGGGAACCUCAUGGUUUCACGGUAUUGCAAUGAGAACAAUUUAAAACCCUUAGCGAGAAUCAAGUGGAGGACAAGUCUGGUGCCAGCACCCGCGGUAAUUCCAGCUCCACUAGCGUAUAUUAAAGUUGUUGCAGUUAAAAAGCUCGUAGUUGAACCUCUGUCUGGGGCUAGUUUUGGCUUUGGUCAGGCUAGUUCUAGGCAUCCGUCUACAAGACUUAGAGGGCAUUCAGUUGUUCACUAGGAGGAGUAGGCAUUUUACUUUGAAAAAAUUAGAGUGUUUAAGGCAGGCAAUCGCCCGCAUAUAUUAGCAUGGAAUAAUAGAAUAGGACACUUUUCCAUUUCGUUGGUUAUUGGAAUCGUGUAAUGAUUAAUAGGGACAGUUGUGGGCAUUUGUAUUUAAUUGUCAGAGGUGAAAUUCUUGGAUUUAUUAAAGACAAACUAACGCGAAAGCAUUUGCCAAGGAUGUUUUCAUUAAUCAAGAACGAAAGUUAGGGGAUCAAAGACGAUCAGAUACCGUCCUAGUCUUAACUAUAAACUAUUCCGACUCAAUGUUUGACUGGCUUAUAUAACCAGUUGAGCGUUGUAUGAGAAAUCAAAGUCUUUAGGUUCUGGGGGGAGUAUGGUUGCAAAGCUGAAACUUAAAGGAAUUGACGGAAGAGCACAACCAGGAGUGGAUUCUGCGGCUUAAUUUGACUCAACACGGGGGAAACUUACCAGGUUAAAACAAUAGUGGGAUUGACAGUUUGAGAGCGCUUUCUUGAUUGGUUGGGUGGUGGUGCAUGGCCG
rnacentral:rRNA from 1 species